rnacentral:rRNA from 1 species
UAGACUUCAAAUCAGGUGGGACUACCCCGCUGAACUUAAGCAUAUCAAUAAGCGGAGGAAAAGAAAUAACUAUGAUUCCCCUUAGUAACGGCGAGUGAACAGGGAAAAGCCCAAAUUUGUAAUCUGGCCCUUUUUACAAGUGUCCGAGUUGUA